rnacentral:rRNA from 1 species
GACGAACGCUGGCGGCGUGCUUAACACAUGCAAGUCGAACGAGUGGCGAACGGGUGAGUAACACGUGGGUGACCUGCCCUGCACUUCGGGAUAAGCCUGGGAAACUGGGUCUAAUACCGGAUAGUGUGGGCUGGGCCCGCGGCCUAUCCGCUUGUUGGUGGGGUAAUGGCUACCAAGGCGCGACGGGUAGCCGGCCUGAGAGGGUGGACGGACACAUUGGGACUGAGACACGGUCAAGACUCCUACGGGAGGCAGCAGUGGGGAAUAUUGCAAAAUGGGCGCAAGCCUGACGCAGCCAUGCCGCGUGUAUGAAGAAGGCCUUCGGGUUGUAAAGUACUUGCAGCGAGGAGGCGUUACUCGCAGAAGAAGCACCGGCUAACUCCGUGCCAGCAGCCGCGGUAAUAC